AAUAGGCCCUAUCGAAGCUAGAAAAGAAUGAUUUUGUCUUGUUCGGUCAAAAUGAGGCCAAAAUCAAUACCAGUCUACGGUCGCUUACUGACUUGUGUCUGCAUAAGCAUUACCAAAGGCUUGAACAAAC